rnacentral:rRNA from 2 species
GUGGGUAGUUUGACUGGGGCGGUCUCCUCCUAAAGAGUAACGGAGGAGCACGAAGGUUGGCUAAUCCUGGUCGGACAUCAGGAGGUUAGUGCAAUGGCAUAAGCCAGCUUGACUGCGAGCGUGACGGCGCGAGCAGGUGCGAAAGCAGGUCAUAGUGAUCCGGUGGUUCUGAAUGGAAGGGCCAUCGCUCAACGGAUAAAAGGUACUCCGGGGAUAACAGGCUGAUACCGCCCAAGAGUUCAUAUCGACGGCGGUGUUUGGCACCUCGAUGUCGGCUCAUCACAUCCUGGGGCUGAAGUAGGUCCCAAGGGUAUGGCUGUUCGCCAUUUAAAGUGGUACGCGAGCUGGGUUUAGAACGUCGUGAGACAGUUCGGUCCCUAUCUGCCGUGGGCGCUGGAGAACUGAGGGGGGCUGCUCCUAGUACGAGAGGACCGGAGUGGACGCAUCACUGGUGUUCGGGUUGUCAUGCCAAUGGCACUGCCCGGUAGCUAAAUGCGGAAGAGAUAAGUG